AGUUCCAUGAAGAGGCUGACCUGUCUGGCAGAGGAUAUUUAGUAUAACACUGGUAUAACAUCUGGUGGUGGAUCCCACCAGAGCAGGACAUUACUGUCCAGAAUAGGCCACGUAAAAGGGAAAGGAGUCAAAUUCUAUGCCUGUGUUGGACAAAAGUGGUGGGAGCAGACCAGUCCCACACUCUAGCAGAUGUCUUUUACCAUCAGUUGAAUUCAGAGGGAUAUGGACAAACAGAUUCCAGCGACUAGCAUAGCUGCGGCAUUGAAGAACAUGACUUCUAGGACUGGAGGAAGACGUAUUCUGUGAUACUUCAGAAACUGUGGUGUAUGUACACAACCAUGCUGGGCUAUCUACUCUUUUGUCUUUAGUUUGGGACUGAUUCUUCUCCUCAUGGUCACAGUUCAGUGAGGUCUUUGAUUUUACUUCCAGCUUCCUGAAGACAGAUUUCAGAUAUAAAAAAUGUCUCCCAGAUGCUGUCAUUCUGCAAAAUACUGAAGACAUAAGGAGAAAGAAUAACUUAAUGGCAGAUAAGUCUCCAAAAUUGCUGGCUAAAUAUUCUUCAUUGAGUGUUACCCUAAUAAUGCUAAUAUCUAUAAACUACAAAUACUAUUUUCUGUCCAGACAGUUGAACGAAAAUGUUCAGACAGCAACUUUGGUCAAUCAUCUAAAGGUCUGAAUGUUUAUUGAAAUUAUCUGAACCUAUCAAAUCUCCACUUUGAACUGGCAGUCUCCUAAAAACCCGCAUUUCAUGUGAAAUUUCUGGCACUUACCUUUCAGGUGCUUGCCAGAAACAUCAUUUUUGUGGUGUGACUGUUUCAAACCUUGAUGGCAAUUACAAUUGUCAAAAUAAAACCUCUCUCUACUUGUUCCAGGAC
rnacentral:lncRNA from 7 species